rnacentral:rRNA from 1 species
CCUACGGGUGGCAGCAGUCGAGAAUCAUUCACAAUGGGGGAAACCCUGAUGGUGCGACGCCGCGUGGGGGAAUGAAGGUCUUCGGAUUGUAAACCCCUGUCAUGUGGGAGCAAAUUAAAAAGAUAGUACCACAAGAGGAAGAGACGGCUAACUCUGUGCCAGCAGCCGCGGUAAUACAGAGGUCUCAAGCGUUGUUCGGAAUCACUGGGCGUAAAGCGUGCGUAGGCUGUUUCGUAAGUCGUGUGUGAAAGGCGCGGGCUCAACCCGCGGACGGCACAUGAUACUGCGAGACUAGAGUAAGGGAGGGGGAACUGGAAUUCUCGGUGUAGCAGUGAAAUGCGUAGAUAUCGAGAGGAACACUCGUGGCGAAGGCGGGUUCCUGGACAUUAACUGACGCUGAGGCACGAAGGCCAGGGGAGCGAAAGGGAUUAGAUACCCCAGUAGUC